rnacentral:rRNA from 1 species
AUUGAACGCUGGCGGCAGGCCUAACACAUGCAAGUCGAACGAGUGGCGGACGGGUGAGUAAUGUCUGGGAAACUGCCUGAUGGAGGGGGAUAACUACUGGAAACGGUAGCUAAUACCGCAUACCAUCGGAUGUGCCCAGAUGGGAUUAGCUAGUAGGUGGGGUCAAGGCUCACCUAGGCGCCGAUCCCUAGCUGGUCUGAGCGGAUGACCAGCCACACUGGAAUUGAGACACGGUCAAGACUCCGACGGGAGGCAGCAGUGGGUAAUAUUGCACAAUGGGCGCAAGCCUGAUGCAGCCAUGCCGAGUGUAUGAAGAAGGCCUGCGGGUUGUAAAGUACUUUCAGCGGGGAGGCGUUACUCGCAGAAGAAGCACCGGCUAACUCCGUGCCAGCCGCCGCGGUAAUUC